GACGUAGGGCGCGAGCGUUGUCCGGAUUUAUUGGGCGUAAAGAGCUCGUAGGCGGCCUGUUAAGUCGAACGUGAAAUCCCCGGGCUCAACCCGGGAACUGCGUCCGAUACUGGCAGGCUUGAAUUCGGGAGAGGGAUGCGGAAUUCCAGGUGUAGCGGUGGAAUGCGUAGAGAUCCGGAAGAACACCGGUGGCGAAGGCGGCCUGCUGGGCAGUGGCUGACACUGAGGCGCGACAGCGUGGGGAGCAAACAGG
rnacentral:rRNA from 1 species